rnacentral:tRNA from 1 species
UGUAUGUAAUUUAAAAAAAAUACCAAGCUGUGACCUUGACAACAGGAUA